GGUUAGGACUUCAACAUAGCUUUUUAGAGGACCCAAGUCAACCCAUAAUAGUUGGUCCACAAAAGAAACAAAAUUAAUGGAAGCAUCGAAAGGGAGAGAUUUACAUAGUGUGCCAAGCAUCUGUGUGCUUCAUGGUGACAGGGCCCAUGACUAUCUACACCACUAGAUCCCCUUAGGCCACACCCUAGCCCAGGACACCACCCUGUCCCCUCCACGGAAAUGCCCUGCUGCUGAUGCACAAUGGAAGGAGUGUGGCAGCCACACCACGGUGCCAUCACCCUGGGAUCUGACUGUGUAACCAGCAGGGCUUCCCAAAGUAGCACUACUCUACAGUUUUCCAUGCAAAUGGCCACUGCAAAGAUUGGGGUUAUUCCACAUUCUACCUGCUUUUCAACACCUGUGGGUCUCAACUUUUUCUGCUUGAGAAUAACACCCCUUUGAAUGCAAAAACUGUGGAUGACACACUGGAAGAGAUAAAGAAACGUGAAACACCACCAAACAAGUCAAUAAGAAUAACAUCAUCAUUGCUGCAGCUGAAGCAAGUCUCACCCUUUCUAUAAAAAUGGCGGGUCAUCACACUUGUCAUGCAUGGUCCAGAAAUGCAUCCGCAGAAAUCACAAGGUUCUAGUCACCUCCACACCGCCCCCACCCCAGCCUGGGUCUCUGUGUAGGUAGAAUUAUGUGUCAUCCUUCUUGGGCUCCCCUGCAUAUUUCCAAAGCAAAGUUCUCACAUAUCUCAAGAAAAUCAAAGGGAUUCACUAUUUUACUUCUUUACAGGUUGGAUCCCUCUCUUUGCAGCAUCAUCCAAGCCAGCGUCACAGCACAAGUAUUCAAUUAUUGCAAAAUGCAAUAUCAUGUGCUGAUGUGCUCAGUCGGGUGGCAUGCCUGUGAAGGGCUGUGUGGCAUGUCAGUAUGAACACACACUGCUGGGAAACCCUCUCCAGCACUGACAAGGAGAAGGAGACCAAGCACCACCUGCCAGGCCAGAACAGAAAGAAGGGCAAUGGAGACUGGCAGAGAAACAGCAAUUACUGCUCGGUGAGAAGUAAACAGCGUCUGCUUCCAGAGGCUUUAUGGACCAGAAAGCCUGUAGGAAAUAGCUCCUGCUUCCCAACCUGGAGUUCCUCACGCACUAGCCCUCCCUGCUACAAUUUUGAUGGUUUUUUUGCAUAUUUACAGAACUGUGCGACCACCAUCAUGAUCAGUCUUAGAAGAGUUAAUCACCUUUCACCCCAGAAAACUCUGUAUUCAUUAGCAGUCACUCCCUUUCCCCCUCCUACCCCUCUCCAACGUUAGGCAACCACUGAUCUACUCUCUGUCUCCAUAAACUGGUCUAUUUUGGACAUUUCACAUAAGCCUCCCUGGAUCCCAGUUUAAGCAUCCUGGGGUUUGUCUGCCUGCCGGAGCCAUGGUGCCAGUGGGGCUACCUGUCCUAUGGGAUAACAAGGCAGGUUCAAACCUUUGCCUGCUCUCCCAUUCAUUCCU